UACGAAGGGGGCUAGCGUUGUUCGGAAUUACUGGGCGUAAAGCGUUUGUAGGCGGUUAUUUAAGCCAGUGAUGAAAGCCCGGGGCUUAACCCCGGAAUUGCCAUUGGUACUGGAUAGCUAGAGAAUGUUAGAGGAAAGUGGAAUUCCUAGUGUAGGAGUGAAAUCCGUAGAGAUUAGGAGGAAUAUCGAUGGCGAAGGCAGCUUUCUGGGACAUUUCUGACGCUGAGAAAACGAAAGCGUGGGUAGCAAACAGG
rnacentral:rRNA from 1 species